GGCCAAGUUUUUAAGGGCGCACGGUGGAUGCCUUGGCACCAGGAACCGAUGAAGGACGUGGGAGGCCACGAUAGUCCCCGGGGAGUCGUCAACCAGGCUUUGAUCCGGGGGUUUCCGAAUGGGGAAACCCGGCAGUCGUCAUGGGCUGUCACCCGCUGCUGAACACAUAGGCAGUGUGGAGGGAACGCGGGGAAGUGAAACAUCUCAGUACCCGCAGGAAGAGAAAACAACCGUGAUUCCGGGAGUAGUGGCGAGCGAAACCGGAUGAGGCCAAACCGUAUACGUGUGAGACCCGGCAGGGGUUGCGUGUGCGGGGUUGUGGGAUCUCUCUUUCACAGUCUGCCGGCUGUGAGACGAGUCAGAAACCGUUGAUGUAGGCGAAGGACAUGCGAAAGGUCCGGCGUAGAGGGUAAGACCCCCGUAGUCGAAACAUCAGCGGCUCGUUUGAGAGACACCCAAGUAGCACGGGGCCCGAGAAAUCCCGUGUGAAUCUGGCGGGACCACCCGUUAAGCCUAAAUAUUCCCUGGUGACCGAUAGCGGAUAGUACCGUGAGGGAAUGGUGAAAAGUACCGCGGGAGCGGAGUGAAAUAGUACCUGAAACCGUGUGCCUACAAGCCGUGGGAGCGUCGG
rnacentral:ncRNA from 1 species